UACGUAGGGUGCGAGCGUUAAUCGGAAUUACUGGGCGUAAAGCGUGCGCAGGCGGUUUUGCAAGCCGGAUGUGAAAUCCCCGGGCUCAACCUGGGAAUGGCAUUUGGGACUGCAAGGCUCGAGUGCGGCAGAGGAGACUGGAAUUCCUGGUGUAGCAGUGAAAUGCGUAGAUAUCAGGAGGAACACCGGUGGCGAAGGCGGGUCUCUGGGCCGAUACUGACGCUGAGGAGCGAAAGCGUGGGGAGCAAACAGG
rnacentral:rRNA from 1 species